UGUACGGAAUCCUUUAGAGAUAGAGGAGUGCUCGAAAGAGAACCGUAACACAGGUGCUGCAUGGCUGUCGUCAGCUCGUGUCGUGAGAUGUUGGGUUAAGUCCCGCAACGAGCCGCAACCCUUGUCAUUAGUUGCUACAUUCAGUUGGGCACUCUAAUGAGACUGCCGGUGACAAACCGGAGGAAGGUGGGGAUGACGUCAAGUCCUCAUGGCCCUUAUAGGUGGGGCUACACACGUCAUACAAUGGAUGGUACAAAGGGUCGCCAACCCGCGAGGGGGAGCCAAUCCCAUAAAGCCAUUCGUAGUCCGGAUCGCAGUCUGCAACUCGACUGCGUGAAGUCGGAAUCGCUAGUAAUCGUGGAUCAGAAUGUCACGGUGAAUACGUUCCCGGGUCUU
rnacentral:rRNA from 1 species